rnacentral:rRNA from 1 species
AUACGGAGGGUGCAAGCGUUAUUCGGAAUCACUGGGCGUAAAGGACGCGUAGGCGGGUUGGCAAGUCAGAUGUGAAAUCCUACAGCUUAACUGUAGAACUGCAUUUGAAACUGCUAACCUAGAGUAUGGGAGGGGGAGAUGGAAUUAGUGGUGUAGGGGUAAAAUCCGUAGAUAUCACUAGGAAUACCGAAAGCGAAGGCGAUCUCUUGGAACAUAACUGACGCUAAGGCGUGAAAGCGUGGGGAGCAAACAGGAUUAGAAACCCUAGUAGUCC